GUGCCAGCCGCCGCGGUAAGACGAAGGGGGCUAGCGUUGUUCGGAAUUACUGGGCGUAAAGCGUGUGUAGGUGGUUGUCAUAGUCAGGUGUGAAAGCCUUGAGCUCAACUCAAGAAAUGCACUUGAUACUGGGCAGCUAGAGGACCGGAGAGGAUAGUGGAAUUCCCAGUGUAGUGGUGAAAUACGUAGAGAUUGGGAAGAACACCAGUGGCGAAGGCGGCUAUCUGGACGGUUUCUGACACUAAGACACGAAAGCGUGGGGAGCAAACAGGAUUAGAUACCCCCGUAGUCC
rnacentral:rRNA from 1 species